UUGCUUGGCCAUAAUGCCCUUGGUUCAUCCUGUCUCUUCUGAUCUUAGAAGCUAAGUGUGGUUGGGCCUGGUUAGUACUUGAAUGAAAGAAAUGAAAAGUCUUGGCUCUUAUCACA
ensembl:rRNA 5S_rRNA 5S ribosomal RNA